rnacentral:rRNA from 1 species
AUCCUGGCUCAGAGUGAACGCUGGCGGCAGGCCUAACACAUGCAAGUCGAGCGGCAGCGCGUCCGACCACCCUCGGGUGGUCGGAUGGCGGCGAGCGGCGGACGGGUGAGGAAUGCAUCGGAAUCUGCCUCGUUGUGGGGGAUAACGUAGGGAAACUUACGCUAAUACCGCAUACGACCUACGGGUGAAAGUGGGGGGACCUUCGGGCCUCACGCGAUGAGAUGAGCCGAUGCCGGAUUAGCUAGUUGGCGGGGUAAAGGCCCACCAAGGCGACGAUCCGUAGCUGGUCUGAGAGGAUGAUCAGCCACACUGGAACUGAGACACGGUCCAGACUCCUACGGGAGGCAGCAGUGGGGAAUAUUGGACAAUGGGGGCAACCCUGAUCCAGCCAUGCCGCGUGUGUGAAGAAGGCCUUCGGGUUGUAAAGCACUUUUGUUGGGGAAGAGACCGGCCGGGUUAAUACCCUGGUUGAAUGACGGUACCCAAAGAAUAAGCACCGGCUAACUUCGUG